AUGCUUCUGGGGUGUUUGUAGCUCUUAGUUUUUACCCACAUAUACAUAAAUGGAAUUCGAGUUUAUAAUCGGAUGUCAUGCCCCUUUGAGGGAAGGCAGAAAAUUGUAACAGGAUACCUACCUGCUGAGAAGCGGGUGAAAAAUUAAGUUAAACGGCACUUUGGGGCAUU
rnacentral:other from 1 species